UACGGGGGGGGCAAGCGUUGUUCGGAAUUACUGGGCGUAAAGGGUUCGUAGGUGGCCAACUAAGUCAGACGUGAAAUCCCUCAGCUUAACUGGGGAACUGCGUCUGAGACUGGAUGGCUUGAGUGCAGGAGAGGAACGCGGAAUUCCAGGUGUAGCGGUGAAAUGCGUAGAUAUCUGGAGGAACACCGGUGGCGAAGGCGGCGUUCUGGACUGCUACUGACACUGAGGAACGAAAGCCAGGGGGAGCAAACGGG
rnacentral:rRNA from 1 species